UGCGUAGGCGGAACCUUAAGUCAGUGGUAAAAGGCAUUAGCUUAACUAAUGUAAGCCAUUGAAACUGGGAUUCUUGAGUUCGGUGGAGGUAGGCGGAAUGUGUUGUGUAGCGGUGAAAUGCAUAGAUAUAACACAGAACACCGAUUGCGAAGGCAGCUUACUAUGCCGUUACUGACGCUGAUGCACGAAAGCGUGGGUAUCAAACAGGAUUAGAUACCCUGGUAGUCC
rnacentral:rRNA from 1 species